rnacentral:rRNA from 1 species
GACGAACGCUGGCGGCGUGCUUAACACAUGCAAGUCGAACGGAAAGGCCCUGCUUUUGUGGGGUGCUCGAUUGGCGAACGGGUGAGUAACACGUGAGUAACCUGCCCUUGACUUUGGGAUAACUUCAGGAAACUGGGGCUAAUACCGGAUAGGAGCUCCUGCUGCAUGGUGGGGGUUGGAAAGUUUCGGCGGUUGGGGAUGGACUCGCGGCUUAUCAGCUUGUUGGUUGGGUAGUGGCUUACCAAUGCUUUGACGGGUAGCCGGCCUGAGAGGGUGACCGGCCACAUGGGGACUGAGAUACGGCCCAGACUCCUACGGGAGGCAGCAGUGGGGAAUAUUGCACAAUGGGCGGAAGCCUGAUGCAGCAACGCCGCGUGCGGGAUGACGGCCUUCGGGUUGUAAAAAGCUUUCGCCUGUGACGAAGCGUGAGUGACGGUAAUGGGUAAAGAAGCACCGGCUAACUACGUG